GAUGAACGCUGGCGGCGUGCCUAAUACAUGCAAGUCGAGCGACAAGACGAGGAGCUUGCUCCUCUGACGUUAGCGGCGGACGGGUGAGUAACACGUGGCUAACCUACCUAUAAGACUGGGAUAACUUCGGGAAACCGGAGCAAAUAACGGGUCAUAUAUUGAAAGGCAUGGUUCAAUAGAGAAAGACGGUUUUGCUGUCAAUUAUAGAUGGCUCCGCGCCGUAUUAGCUAGUUGGUAAGGUAACGGCUUACCAAGGAAACGGUGUCUAGCCGACCUGAGAGUGUGAUCAGCCACUCUGGAAGUGAGACACCGUCCACACUUCUACGAGACGCAGGUGUAGAGAAUCGUCCGAUAGGGGCGAAAGCCAGACAGAGCAGCGCCGCGGAAGUGAAGAAGGUCAUCGUUUUGUAAUACUCUUUUAUUAGAGAAAAACAAAUGUGUAAGUAACUGCACGCCGUGACGGUACCUAAUGAGAAAGCCACGGCUAACUACGUG
rnacentral:rRNA from 1 species